rfam:Clostridium sp. CAG:1013 genomic scaffold, scf75
GUGGAUGUAGCUUAGCCCGGUUAAAGCGCCAGAUUGUGGCUCUGGAGACCGUGGGUUCGAAUCCCAUCUUCCACC